CAAAUGACAAAAUCCAAGCUGUGAUUGAGACAGGGGUCUGUCCUCGACUUGUUGAGCUCCUUCUCCAUCCAUCUCCUUCAGUUCUUGUUCCUGCCCUUCGCACAGCUGGAAAUAUUGUGACUGGGGACGACAUUCAGACUCAGUGUAUAAUAAACAAUGCUGCACUGCCAUGUCUUCUAAGCCUAUUGACUCAUAAUCAUAAAAAG
rnacentral:misc_RNA from 1 species